rnacentral:rRNA from 1 species
GACGAACGCUGGCGGCGUGCUUAACACAUGCAAGUCGAGCGGAGCGGCGAACGGGUGAGUAACGCGUGAGUAACUGCCCCCCUCUCUGGGAUAACAGUUGGAAACGGCUGCUAAUACCGGAUAGUGGGGGAUGACUCGCGUCCUAUCAGCUUGUUGGUGGGGUAGUGGCCUACCAAGGCGACGACGGGUAGCCGGCCUGAGAGGGCGACCGGCCCCAGGGGGCUGGGAUACGGGCGAAAGCCCUACGGGAGGUAGCAGUGGGGGAUGUUGCACAAGGGGGGGAAGCCUAGCCGAGCAACGCGCGGCAGUGUAGAAGGUUUACGGGUUGUAAAGCUCUGUUGUUAAGGGGGAAUGGAAAGUUCAUGCUGUGACGGUACUUAACCAGAAUGGGACGGCUAACUACGUGCCAGCAGCCGCGGUAAUUC